CAGACUAUAGCUAAAAAGAAAAGCAUCUCUCUUACACUGAGAAAACAUCCGUGCAAAUCGGAUUGGCCUGAC
rnacentral:tRNA from 1 species